GCAAAAGAUAUAACUACACAAAAAUGUAUUGAAUGUAAUGUCUAUAUCACAAAGACUAUAUUUCAUUUUACAUUUUAUUUCAUUUUUAAAUAACAGGUGAUCUUACCAUUUCAGGACACUCGCCGGAAUCUUCUAAAAAUUUAUUUUCCUUCAUUGCGCGCUGCAUCGUCUCAGCAAAACUCGGGUCCACCAUUAAAACCUUCUGACCACCGAGUGUAGAAAACUUGCAGUCACUCUUCCUCGAGUCAGUCGUCAUGCACACUUCAUAAUUAUACCCGUGCGGCAGAGUUCCAGUGACUCCUGUGUCUGCGUAAUGCGGUGGAUAGUACGGAAUAACAGGCAGAUUGGAUUGAUAUAAGAAGCGAGAUUGUCUCCAUCUGUAGAUCUUUACUGAUAUUAUCACAACCACACAUGUGAUAAAUAGGAAAGAAACUGCAGCCAGUGCGAGAACUAAAUAAAAGGUCAGGUUCUCGUCAUACUGUUUUUCAUGCGUAAAGUCUGUGAACUCUGACAGCACUUCAGGAAAGCUGUCAGCCACAGCUACGUUAAUGGAGACCACAGCUGAGCGAGAGGGCUGUCCGUUAUCCUCCACAACAACAGUCAGUUUUUGUUUGACAGCAUCUUUAUCAGUCACUUGUCGCACAGUUCUUAUUUCUCCAUUCUGUAAACCCACUUCAAACAGCGCUCUGUCUGUAGCUUUCUGUAGUUUAUAGGAGAGCCAGGCAUUCUGUCCAGAGUCCACAUCAACAGCCACCACUUUAGUGACCAGAUAUCCAACAUCUGCAGCACGAGGCACAAUCUCAGCCACCACAGAAGCACCAGUCUGUACUGGAUACAGAACCUGAGGAGCGUUGUCAUUCUGAUCUUGAAUAUUGAUAGUUAUUGUCACUUCAGAGCUCAAGGGCGGGGAUCCUCCAUCUCGAGCUGUCACGUUAAAAGCAAACGAUUUCAACUGUUCAAAAUCAAACGAUUUAACUGAAUGAAUAGUGCCUGUAAGUGAAUCUACGGAAACGAGAGAACUUAAUGGUGCACCACGCAUGUCUUGAUCCUUCAGGAAGUAGGACAAUUGCGCAUUGGGACCCCAGUCAGCAUCAUUUGCUUUAACAGUCAGUAUAGUGAGACCAGGAGAAUUGUUUUCACUAACAAAUGUUUUAUAUUCCUCAAACUGGAAUACUGGCGGAUUGUCAUUGACAUCAGAUAUUUUUACAUUAAGUGUUUUGUUUGCGUAACGCGCAGGACUUCCUUGGUCUGAUACCAAGAUUGUUAUAUUAUAUUCAGCAAGACUUUCUCGAUCAAGCAUAUCAUCAGUAACCAAAGUGUAAUAUUCCGCUAGAGAUGACUCAAUUUUAAAAGGUAUAUUUUUAUUUAUUGAGCAUUGAACAAGGCCAUUUUUACCAGAAUCUGCGUCCUCUACGUUAAUGACGGCUACAGUUGUUCCCACUGGGGAAUUUUCAGGAAGAGUGUUUGAGAAUGACAUCACCUGUAUGGUUGGAGAGUUGUCAUUCUCAUCAAUGACAUCUAUAACGAUUUUACAAGUAUCCGACAGGCCACCUUUAUCUCUCGCAUUAAUAUUUAACUGAAAUCUAUUUUGAGAUUCAUAAUCUAAAUUAUUAAGAAGUCUAAUCUCACCUGUAUCUGAGUGUAUCCCAAAAAGCUCACUUGUUUCUUUGCUUGCAACAGCGAAUGAAUAGGAAACAUGGCCAUUUACACCUUCGUCAGCAUCAGCAGCACUAAUAAUACCUAUGACAGUACCAGCAGGUGAAUUUUCCCUAACUUCAGUUUUAAAUACUGACUGUUUACACACUGGGGCAUUAUCAUUGGCAUCCAAAACAGUAACGUGAAUUUUUACAGUGCCUGAUUUCUGAGGUGAUCCACCAUCAUUUGCCACAAGAACCAAUUGAAUCUCAUCGCGCUCCUCUCGGUCUAGUUCUCGUUGUAAAACCAUCUCAAUGUAUUUGUUGUCAUCGGUCUGACUAUGAACCUCCAGUUUAAAACUAUCAGUUGGAUGUAGUUUAUAGCUCUGUAUACCGUUUAGACCUACAUCUGUAUCUAUAGCGCUGUCUAAAGGAAAGCGAGCUCCUAAAACCGCAUUUUCGGUAAUAUUCAAAUUAACAUUUUCUUUUGGAAAUAACGGAGCAUUAUCGUUUAUAUCUUGCACCUCAAUUGUGACUCGAUGGAGCUGGAUAGGGUUUUCAAUGAUAAGAUCAAAGCUGAAGCUGCAAGGCGUCAUCUGCUUGCAGAGCUCCUCGCGAUCUAUCCUUUCUUUAACUACAAGGGUCCCUUUGUCUCUGCUCAGAUCGACAUACUGUCGUCCGCCCUUUGUAACGACGCGAGCUUUUCCAGAUAUGAGUCUACUUAUCUCUAUCCCCAGAUCCUUGGCGAUGUUUCCAACGAAUGAUCCCCCUGGCAUUUCCUCCGGGAUGGAAUAUCUCGCAUUGCAAUAUACGACGUCCACUCCGUAAAAGCAGAGAAUGAAAAACACAACCUUCCAUUUUGAAUGUACGGAAUCCAUCCAUUGAUUGAGUAAAUUUCUCGACAACCUUAAGAAAACCAUCCUGAGAAACUGUGUCGUCAAACGAAGAGUGGAACAAGUAAGAAAAGCCAUUAAAAUCCUAAAUCCGCAAUUAAGCAUUCAUGUUAUUUCCAUCGGGGGAAAAAAACGCUGCAUUUGCCCAACCUACAAACACGUCAGUAAGUGACUGGCAG
ensembl:lncRNA